GCUCCAAUAGCGUAUACUAAAGUUGUUGCAGUUAAAAAGCUCGUAGUUGAAUUUCUGGUCGCGGAAGGUGGUCCGUUCCUCACGGAAUGUGUACUGUCCAUCCGUGUCCAUUCUCGGAGUUAGUUUGUAUUACCUUCACCGGUCGUGCAUACAACCUCGUCAUUUACUGUGAGCAAAAUAGAGUGUUCAAAGCAGGCUUA
rnacentral:rRNA from 1 species